rnacentral:rRNA from 1 species
GAUGAACGCUAGCUACAGGCUUAACACAUGCAAGUCGCGGGGCAGCAUAGUGAUUGCUUGCAAUUACUGAUGGCGACCGGCGCACGGGUGAGUAACGCGUAUCCAACCUACCCUUUACUACGGGAUAACCCGGCGAAAGUCGGACUAAUACCGUAUGUAGUCCAUUGACGGCAUCCGAUUUGGACCAAAGGCUUAGCGGUAAAGGAUGGGGAUGCGUCCGAUUAGCUUGACGGCGGGGUAACGGCCCACCGUGGCAACGAUCGGUAGGGGUUCUGAGAGGAAGGUCCCCCACACUGGAACUGAGACACGGUCCAGACUCCUACGGGAGGCAGCAGUGAGGAAUAUUGGUCAAUGGGCGUAAGCCUGAACCAGCCAAGUAGCGUGCAGGAUGACGGCCCUAUGGGUUGUAAACUGCUUUUAUGCGGGGAUAAAAGAGCCCACGUGUGGGUUUUUGCAGGUACCGCAUGAAUAAGGACCGGCUAAUUCCGUGCCAGCAGCCGCGGUAAUACGGAAGGUCCAGGCGUUAUCCGGAUUUAUUGGGUUUAAAGGGAGCGUAGGCCGCCUCUUAAGCGUGUUGUGAAAUGCGGGUGCUCAACAUCCGACUUGCAGCGCGAACUGGGGGGCUUGAGUGCGCCGAAAGUAGGCGGAAUUCGUGGUGUAGCGGUGAAAUGCUUAGAUAUCACGAAGAACUCCGAUUGCGAAGGCAGCUUACUGUAGCGCAACUGACGCUGAUGCUCGAAAGCGUGGGUAUCGAACAGG